rnacentral:rRNA from 1 species
GAUCCUGGCUCAGAUUGAACGCUGGCGGCAUGCCUUACACAUGCAAGUCGAACGGCAGCACGGGAGUAAUCCUGGUGGCGAGUGGCGAACGGGUGAGUAAUACAUCGGAACGUGUCCUGUAGUGGGGGAUAGCCCGGCGAAAGCCGGAUUAAUACCGCAUACGCUCUACGGAGGAAAGGGGGGGAUCUUAGGACCUCUCGCUACAGGGGCGGCCGAUGGCAGAUUAGCUAGUUGGUGGGGUAAAGGCCUACCAAGGCGACGAUCUGUAGCUGGUCUGAGAGGACGACCAGCCACACUGGGACUGAGACACGGCCCAGACUCCUACGGGAGGCAGCAGUGGGGAAUUUUGGACAAUGGGGGCAACCCUGAUCCAGCAAUGCCGCGUGUGUGAAGAAGGCCUUCGGGUUGUAAAGCACUUUUGUCCGGAAAGAAAACUUCUGCCCUAAUACGGCGGGAGGAUGACGGUACCGGAAGAAUAAGCACCGGC